UUUGUGAGAGCAGAUAGGGAAUUCUAGAAGGGUGACUAGACAUCCAGUCUAUUUUGGGUCUCCAAAUCUCCAGCAGCCCGGUAUCUGAGCUGAGAGAAAUGGGGCUACUUCAGAGUACGAGAGAGCGCCAGCGGCAAGGGCUUCCACGUGUCUAUUUCUGGCUGUCCCCUGAUGCUGUGUCAUUGGAGGAGCUGUGACAUCAUCACAGCCUCUGCCUUUUUCCGAAGGCUGGCACUACAGAGGAAAUUUGAACACACAGACACCAGGAAUGCACACUCCCAGAGGAGAGACCAACCAAGGACACAGCCAAAAGACAGCCGCCACCAGCAAGCCAAGCAAAGAGAAAGGUUUGAAUGAAAUCAACUCUGUUGACACCUUGACCUUGGACUUCCAGCCUUCAGAAGUAUAAAAAAAUAAAUGUAUGCUCCGUAAAACACCCAA